rnacentral:lncRNA from 1 species
AAUAAUGCCAUGGAUAAAAGCUCUCAAUCAAGCAUAUAGAGAAUUCAUAGAGUUAUUCUUAAUAAAUUGAUUAAUCAUCUAGCAACUUAUCCAACAAUAAGUAAAGUAUAAUAUAGAAAGAUGGAGAAAUUUGAAGUUAUUUCUUUUAUUUUAAUUAUUUUUCUUGAUUACAUUUAAGUUUCAUUCUUUAAUAUAUGUCUAGAGCACCCAAUGUCCAAUUUAACAUCUUUUGUUGGAGCCUUGAGUGCUAGACACACCUGCAGAAAAUAUUUAGAUUUUCAACUUAGGAACCCAAGCUCUUUUGGGUCCUUGCAGGUUAGCUAUUAUUGUUCCUUUUGGAACCCAUAUUUUCUUAAUAGCUAUUUUGUCCAUAGGCUUGCAGAUUUUUGGACUACAAGAAGUGUAUUUCUGCAUCUUCUUAUUAAAUUUAACAAACAUGGAUUUAACAUGAGUGGUAGAUAAUCCUUCAGUUUUCUGUUUUUGCCUUUUAGGUUUAUCAAAUUUGUAAUGUACAGAUUUAGGAACAGAAGAGAUUUUGCAUAACCUUUGUUCCUGUUUAUCAGCAUUAUAAGAAUCUAUUUUAAAAUGAUUAGAAA